ensembl:snoRNA snoRNA:U29:54Ed snoRNA:U29:54Ed
AAAGUAUGAUGAAACAUUUACCCAGCUCGCUUUGAUAUACAAUGAAGAGAACUGUUCCAUAUCCAACGCAAAACUAAAAUGCUGAUU